CACCCCGCAUGCUGUUCAUUGGAGGCUUCUUCCGAGCAAGAGAAACCUUAAGUUUGCUCCCUUGAAAAUCUUUCCCUGGAAUAAGAGAACAGAAUACCACACGGCUGAGCUCCAG